UUGCAGAGAGGAUCACACCUGUCGACAACAAACAAAGGUUUAAAAACAUCUGAAUUUUCAGAAAUGAUCACACCGCCUAGUUGAAGUACCAGUCUCCAUGUGCAAGUCAACAAAGCAGAGAGGAAACGCUUGAUUGACAACGUCUCAAGCUCAACCUGUGACUUGGAAGACCAUAAACAUGUUGCACAUCAUCCUAAGCAAAGUCUGAACUCAGUGACUUGUUACUCUCAACCCAGAGCAAGAAUCCUUUUAUCACAUGCUUUUCUUCUACAAUAGGUUAUCCCUUAUAUGGACACAUGCUACUUUUUUCGUAUCUCAGUAAUACUGUGAGGAAACUGGACAGGACACAGAAUCAGUACUUGUUUUUAACCAAAUUUUUAAAUAGAAAUUGUUUCUUUAAGUGGAUUACUCGUAGUCUGUAUUUUUGUUUAAUUCGGACUUAUUCUCUUUAUAACUUUCCAUAUUCAAAUGCUGACAAACUGCACUUCCUUGUGUGUUGUACUGUAAUUUUUAUGGUAAAAUUCUAGUAACAACAGCUACCGGUAACUUACCAUAAAGUUUUUGUUUCUUUUUUUUUACAAUAAAAUGUCAAUAUGUCAUACAA